ensembl:lncRNA
CUCGGACGUGCCCGCCUCCAUCUUUGUUCCAUAUGGCUUCAUCCUUGACAGCGGUUUGAAAGCUCAGACCGACUUCUUCAGCGCCACAUCCGGCUUCUCGCCGAGACUUGAACGCGGCGCCCGCGGCACCAGCUGGACGGGGACAACUGGCCCGGAGGCACGAGCGCUGAAUGCUGCGAGGCCACAAAAAACGCACCGUUUAGCCGCCACUGACCCCAGUUUAAUCCAGACAAGCCGGCCAAUGGAAGGACAGAAGGUUCUGAUUUACUCAUCUGGACUCAAUGCAACUCCUCUGACGUUCUGAGGCGGACUUUUCUUGCGCUGAUGAAAAAGGUUUCCAGGCGAGACAGAACUACUUUAGUUCCCCGCUUACUGAGGUUUCAAUGAAACAAACCAGCUGUAACAUUCCCAUCAUCUCCUCCCCCCCCCCUUCGCCCGGACUCCUCUGUGAAGGACUCUAACCCCCGUCCCUCGGGCCGAUCUCGCGCGAUAAGGACCAGCGGACCACUGUGGCUUCUUGUCCUCUCAUGCGCAAGCAAAUGCUUCCUCCUUUGGACUGUGUGAACUCGCUCGAUUCUUUACUUGUCUUCGUUAUCUCUGACCGUUCCCCCUUUCCUGUCCCCUAUCCAGCUCCAUCAAUCUCUUUAUCUUCCACCUCUUUCAUCCCUUGUUAUUCCUCCCGCUCUUCACAACAACAACACCCAACCGUCAGCGCUCUCGCAGUACGUAUUUAUCACUGACAUGUCGGUGAGCGUCACCACACCUUUACUUCUGGUGUUUACUCGAACACCUCCAUCAGAGCUGGCACUUCCUCCACAUAAACAUGUACAGGCCACUGAAUGGCAUGGGACAACAUCUAAACGUCCUGCUGCGCGGUAAAUGUGACGAAGUUAAGGAAAAAUGUCCUCUACAUUGAGAAGAACAAGAGAACAAAAAAGGUACAAUUUAUAUUCAAGGAGCACUUUGAUGUUUUCUUGAUUGUCACACAAAGAAACCCAAUUGUAUGAGAUUUCAUUCUCUUUCUACUUUAUACAAUUUCACGUCAGCUUAAUUUCACAAGAGGGACAAUUCGUCAUGGACCAAAAAAAGAGAUUGAUAUUAUGAUAGAAGCUUGUCAUUGUGCAUUCAGCGCUGAUAAGCUACAGAAGGUUUAACAGCAUAUUGGAUGAUGAUUGAACCUGAUACAUAUGAUUACAAUGACCCACAUUAACGUGUUGUGUGAUAGUGUUUUUCAGCCCACAAAAGCUUGUAAUCAUAAGACGUUUUGACUUCUUUUCUUUGCCCUCCAGCAAAUGCAGACUGACUUCCAAAACAACACGGGACCUACAAUUGAAUUCGGAAGCAGUGUUGAAAUUGGGGUUUUAGUCCGUGCUAAGUCUAAACGGGCCAUCGGUGUCUUUUUAAUAUUGUUCGGUUGCCACUUUGCCAGAGCUAACUCUGUGGCGAGGGAACACGCGACGAGCGAAUGAGAAGGGAAUCGGAGCACACGCACAGAAUCACACACGGCCGCUGUGUCACAGUCAGAGCCCAGUGCUU